AGCGAACGCUGGCGGCAGGCUUAACACAUGCAAGUCGAGCGGGCGUAGCAAUACGUCAGCGGCAGACGGGUGAGUAACGCGUGGGAACAUACCUUUUGGUUCGGAACAACACAGGGAAACUUGUGCUAAUACCGGAUAAGCCCUUACGGGGAAAGAUUUAUCGCCGAAAGAUUGGCCCGCGUCUGAUUAGCUAGUUGGUGAGGUAACGGCUCACCAAGGCGACGAUCAGUAGCNGGUCUGAGAGGAUGAUCAGCCACAUUGGGACUGAGACACGGCCCAAACUCCUACGGGAGGCAGCAGUGGGGAAUAUUGGACAAUGGGCGCAAGCCUGAUCCAGCCAUGCCGCGUGAGUGAUGAAGGCCCUAGGGUUGUAAAGCUCUUUUGUGCGGGAAGAUAAUGACGGUACCGCAAGAAUAAGCCCCGGCUAACUUCGUGCCAGCCGCCGCAGUAAC
rnacentral:rRNA from 1 species